GGACUACCCGGGUAUCUAAUCCCGUUCGCUACCCUAGCUUUCGCGCCUCAGCGUCAGAAGAGGUCCAGCACGUCGCUUUCGCCACCGGCGUUCCUUCCGAUAUCAACACAUUUCACCGCUCCACCGGAAGUUCCACAUGCCCCUACCUCCCUCGAGACGUCCAGUAUCAAAGGCAAUUUUCCGGUUAAGCCGAAAGAUUUCACCCCUGACUUGGACAUCCGCCUACGCGCCCUUUAAGCCCAGUGAUUCCGAACAACGUUUGCACGGUUCGUCUUACCGCGGCUGCUGGCAC
rnacentral:rRNA from 1 species